UGUCAAUAAUUACGUCAUUUGGCCUUGGAGCCUCGCUCUCAUGAAUCGUAAGACAAUCACAUUGCAUAAUUUACUAAUGAGAGCGAGGCUCCAAGACCAAAAAAUAUGACGUAAUUAUUGAAA